rnacentral:rRNA from 1 species
AACGAACGCUGGCGGCAUGCCUAACACAUGCAAGUCGAACGAUCCCUUCGGGGAUAGUGGCGCACGGGUGCGUAACGCGUGGGAACCUGCCCUUAGGUUCGGAAUAACUUAGAGAAAUUUGAGCUAAUACCGGAUAAUGUCUUCGGACCAAAGAUUUAUCGCCUUUGGAUGGGCCCGCGUUGGAUUAGCUAGUUGGUGGGGUAAAGGCCUACCAAGGCGACGAUCCAUAGCUGGUCUGAGAGGAUGAUCAGCCACACUGGGACUGAGACACGGCCCAGACUCCUACGGGAGGCAGCAGUGGGGAAUAUUGGACAAUGGGCGAAAGCCUGAUCCAGCAAUGCCGCGUGAGUGAUGAAGGCCUUAGGGUUGUAAAGCUCUUUUACCCGGGAUGAUAAUGACAGUACCGGGAGAAUAAGCCCCGGCUAACUCCGUG